AUUUCUGUAAAUAUAAAUGUAAUAACAAUCAUGUUAUAGCAACUAGUUUUUAUUAUUUUAUUAUUAUAUUAUAUCUUUUUUAUUAUUUAUUUUAGAAUUAUAAUAUUUCAUAUUUAUUCUUUUUAUAUACGUAAUUUUUUUUUUAAUAUAAACCUCAUAAAAUCAUUUUUCAGAAACAUACCAGUAAUGUACUUUAAUAAGACAAAUGUAAAAUUAGGGGUAACAAUAAUUAUGUAACAACUGGCUAUUUUUUUUAUUAUUUAUUAUGAUAUUAUGAUAUUAUGUUUUAUUAUUAUUAUUUCUUGAUCAUUUGUAUUCUUUGUUUUUGUGCUUUGGUCGUGCCAGUAAACCCCACAAAAUGCUACAUACUUCUGAAAAAUAUAUUAAUCAAUAAUUCAGUCAUUUAAUGAGCGAAAUGUAAAAUUAUGAUACAAAUAGCCAUUUUUUUCCAGAUUUAUUAUUAUUAUUAUUAUUUUAUGCAACAUGCAAAUUAGGGGUAAUUAUAUCUAAAACAAAUGAAAAUUAGUUUAUUAUUAUAUAUAUAUUAUUUAUGCAUUAUUUUAUUUGUUUUUCUAGUCGCUUCUAGUUAUUAAUCAAUAAUUCAGUCAUUUAAUGAGCGAAAUGUAAAAUUAUGAUACAAAUAGCCAUUUUUUUCCAGAUUUAUUAUUAUUAUUAUUAUUUUAUGCAACAUGCAAAUUAGGGGUAAUUAUAUCUAAAACAAAUGAAAUUAGUUUUAUUAUUUAUUAAUAUUAUUAUUAUUGUUAAUGCAUUAUUUUUAUUUGUUUUUCUAGCGCUUCAGUAAUUCACAGCACCUUUUGUUAUGCAAAUAAAACCCUUAAAAUUCUACAUGCUUUUCAGAAACUCAUAGCAUUUAAUAUUAUCUUUAUUAAUACAAAAAUAGAGAUUUAUAUAUAUAUAUAUAUAUUAUUAUUAUUAUUUAUUUUUUUGUAACUGGUGAUGUUUAUUGCUGUGUGUGUGUGUGUGUGUGUGUGUGUGUGUCAGCUGGCAGACGCUCUUCAGGAGGGGAAUCAGGUGCGAGCGGAGCUGACUCUGCAGCAGAAGCUGCGGGCUGAUGUUCAGCUGCGGGUGGAGGAGCUGGAGGAGAGCGUGCUGGAGAAAGACCAGGAGCUGCUGCACCUCACACAGAUCGUCAGCAGACUGCAGGGAGAGGUGACAGAUAAGCUGAGUGAUAAGGAGCAGACGCUGGAGGAGGAGAUCCAGCUGCGGGAGCGCGUGCAGCUGCAGUGUAAACAGGCCGAGAGGACGGUGGAGGAUCUGCGCAUGGAGCUGCAGACGCUGGGACAGUCCAGAGACGAGCUCUCCAAACAGCUCAAGCUGGCUCAGGAGAAGAUCAUCGAUCUGGAGGCAGAUCUGGAGGAGCUGCAGGAGAACGAGCAGCGAUGGGCGUCCAAACACAAGAGAGCUCUGGAUCAGGUCAGAAACCACCAGAAACCGCUUUAGACCGCUGCAACACGGUUUAUGUUUAGUCUGAGGCUGACAGCAGGAUCUGCGAUAAAUUUGUAAAAAAACCUGGACAAAAUUGCAGAAUCCAGUCAAGAAAAAUAUGAGCAGCGAUGGGCGUCCAAACACAAGAGAGCUCUGGAUCAGGUCAGAAACCACCAGAAACCGCUUUAGACCGCUGCAACACGGUUUAUGUUUAGUCUGAGGCUGACAGCAGGAUCUGCGAUAAAUUUGUAAAAAAACCUGGACAAAAUUGCAGAAUCCAGUCAGAAAAAAUAUAAAGUUUACAGUACAAUGUGUCAAAAUAAAAGCUCAUUUUAACUAUUAUUAAUAUUACUUCUCAGUGUAUUAAUAAUAAUAAUUAUUUUUAACCUCUGUUGUUCCAAAAUUAAAAAAAAUAAGGUAUUUUAAAACUAAACU
rnacentral:lncRNA from 1 species